rnacentral:rRNA from 1 species
UACAGAGGUCCCAAGCGUUGUUCGGAUUCACUGGGCGUAAAGGGUGCGUAGGCGGUCGGGUAAGUCUGAUGUGAAAUCUCACAGCUUAACUGUGAAACUGCAUUGGAUACUAUUCGGCUAGAGAGUUGGAGGGGGGGGGACUGGAAUUCUCGGUGUAGCAGUGAAAUGCGUAGAUAUCGAGAGGAACACCAGUGGCGAAGGCGAGUCCCUGGACAACUUCUGACGCUGAGGCACGAAAGCUAGGGGAGCAAACAGG